rnacentral:lncRNA from 1 species
GUCGGUUCUAGAGGCGAGCAUCUAAAAUUCAGCGGUUUCGACUGCGACGACAAACCUCGGUCGUUCUUCAAACUAUCUUGCUUACGUUAGGGAGUCUGUCGAUUUUGCACGUCAACGAUCGAAAUGGGGCGCAUGGUUUACUGUAGCACACAGUGGGCGAAGAGGAAACACAGUCCAGGGCUGACUGAGAACGACGGAGAAUCAGAAACGAGUUUUCAGAUGUAUUCGCUGCUUCUACUAUAGGUUCUAUGCAACAUUGUCUUGUUCGACAAUGUAUUGCAGAGCAAGAACACACGAAAAGUAGAUUUAUCUGGAGGAUUUGGUGAAGUGGAGUUUGCUAGGAAUGGUGGACGAAUCUUACGGCAGGAGAAAAAGGAAGAGGCGAGGAGACAUUAAACCCAAGAAGAGGAAAGCGACAGAUGCAGAGGGAUGAAGGCACAGGCAGCAUCCGGGUUCGGCUUG